rnacentral:rRNA from 1 species
UACGGGGGGGGCAAGCGUUGUUCGGAAUUACUGGGCGUAAAGGGCUCGUAGGUGGCCAACUAAGUCAGACGUGAAAUCCCUCGGCUUAACCGGGGAACUGCGUCUGAUACUGGAUGGCUUGAGUUUGGGAGAGGGACGCGGAAUUCCAGGUGUAGCGGUGAAAUGCGUAGAUAUCUGGAGGAACACCGGUGGCGAAGGCGGCGUCCUGGACCAACACUGACACUGAUAAGCGAAAGCCAGGGGAGCAAACGGG